AUGUAUGAAAGCUACUACUAGUGGUGACAACAGUAAGAACACUACCAUAAGAGCAACAACAAAACUAUGGAGUCUUUAUUAUAAGAAUAUUUCUGUGACUGUUUUGAUGAGUACAACAACUUGCUGAGUUAACAACUACUAAUAACCUUCAUUUCCUUUCCAAAAGAAGAAAGUUCAGAGAGACUGACUAAACUUUUCAAGUUCUCCCAGUUUAUAUCCAUCAAGGCAUCAUGAAUACAGUAAAAUUAAAUGUGCCGUCACUUGCUUGGCUGCUCCCGUCGUCUGUUGCCAGGGUCAUGCACCUUGAGGCAGACAGCUGGGCCUCCUUGAUGGAAGAUUCCCACCUCUAUAAUUCACCUAGACCUCUCUAAUUCACUCCCACCCAUCAUCUGCCAGAGAAAUAUCACUGACCUUUACCUCUACCACCUCCCUCAAUAAUAAAGCUUUUGAAGAGGUUAAAACAAAAUGCUUCGGCCAGAAUUUCUCAACUGUGAAACUUUUAACUAAGUCAAACUCACGGACAGAAUGGAAUGGAGAUAAGAUAUGACUCAAAAGAAAUUGAGACACAUGAAAAUUUCUCCCAACUCCUCUUUCAUCCUGUUGUCAGCUGGUGGAGCUUAAGAGAGAACACACAGCAACCCAUGAAAGACCUCAUAGUCAUUUGUCUUUUUCUGGAGUAUGUGAAUGCAUUGGUGGGAAGCCACCAGCGUCAUUUGGACAAGAAAGUGAAAGGAUCAACUCUACAUAUUAGAAUAAUCUCUGGUUACCAGAGGGGAGAUGAUUGGGGGAUGGGGUAAGUAGGUGAUAGAGCUUAAGAUGUGCACCUGUUGUGAUAUGCACUGGGUAUUGUAUAGAAAUGCUGAAUUACUAUAUUGCACAUCUGUAACUAAUAUUACACUAGAUGUUACCUAAGUGGAAUUUAAAUGCAAGCUAUAAAUAAAUAUAUACAUACACAGAAAAAAAAAAUAAGA
rnacentral:lncRNA from 1 species